AAAAAGACAAACCCUAGGUUUUCGUGUCCAACUUUAACUGUCCGUCUUAUAUGAAAUUUUUUUAUAAUUCGUAUUUUCAUUGUUGUUAGAUGAUAAAACAUGAUUAAUAUUUUAUGCGUGACUUGUCUUUUUAAUUUUUUUUAUAAUUUUUUCAAAUAAGACGGACGGUCAAACAUUGGAUACGAAAACCAGGGUUUGUCUUUUU
rnacentral:pre_miRNA from 1 species